ensembl:misc_RNA Metazoa_SRP Metazoan signal recognition particle RNA
ACUGGGCUCAUGGCGCAGCCUGUAGUCCCAGCUCCUCGGGAGGCUGAGGCUGGAGGAUUGCGUGAGUCCAGGAGUUCUGGGCUGUAGUGUGCUAUGCGGAUCAGGUGUCCGCACUAAGUUUAGCAUCAUUAUGGUGACCUCCUGGGAGCUGGGGACCACCAGGUUGCCUAAGGAGGGUGAAUUGGCCCAGGUCAGAAACAGAGCAGGUCAAAACUCCCAUGCUGAUGAGUAGUGGGAUUGUGCCUGUGAAUAGCCACUGCACUCCAGCCUGGGCAACACAGUGAGACCCCAACUCUG